GGCUGGUGCCAGGCUCUGCUCAGGAUGAGGCUGUCCAGAGCCUUCGCUUGGGCACUGCUGUGCAGUACAGGUAAUGUGUGGCCCCCGAGCCCUCUGUCCUGGGCUUCUCUUUGCUUUCCUGUUCCACUCUGAGGUUGUUGUAGUUUGCUUUUUGCAUAGGAAGAAGCUCAUGGCUGAUUGGCUGUGAGAUACUCUCCUCCAUACAAAAUGUGUCACUUUCCCCUUAGUACUGGAGGAGGAAGGGACAGACAGGGAUUGUUCUGGUCACUAGGCUGAUGUCAGCAUGAUUUUUAAUGUUUCUCAGCUCUUGGAUCUAUGGGCCUCUUCCUUGCCUUAAGCAACUUAGGCUGAGAUUCUACGGGGGGCAAGCCAGAAGUGGCUGAGAGAAUGAGACACGGUCUUGCUUUGGAGGCGUUCCAGGUGGUGUGAGCAUCUGCCAAUGCUCCCCUGGCUCAUGCAAGCCUGGCUCUGCACAUGUUGGGCAGAGGCUGCACCUGUGACUGCAGAAAUAAGAUUGAGCCACAGUUUUCCUGCAUCAGCCUUGGGUGAGGGAGAAGGAGUAUGACCCAGUAACCCUUCCAGAAACAUACAUGGAUUCUGUUCCAGCAUUUCUGUACACCUACUUCUUUGGGGUCAGUAGGUCAGAUGUGAAAACUAUUCUAUCGUUCCUGUCCUUUUGAUAUUGGAGCAUGUGUCUGUUAGACUCUAUCUUCUUCCUCUUUGUUGAUCUUAUUAUAAGCCCUAUGGCAUUUCCCAAUGUAUUU
rnacentral:lncRNA from 1 species